rnacentral:rRNA from 1 species
UACGGGGGGGGCAAGCGUUGUUCGGAAUUACUGGGCGUAAAGGGUUCGUAGGUGGCUUGCUAAGUCAGACGUGAAAUCCCUCAGCUUAACUGGGGAACUGCGUCUGAUACUGGCGAGCUUGAGUGCAGGAGAGGAACGCAGAAUUCCAGGUGUAGCGGUGAAAUGCGUAGAUAUCUGGAGGAACACCGGUGGCGAAGGCGGCAUCCUGGACCGGGUAGUUGACGCUGAUGCGCGAAAGCCAGGGGAGCAAACGGGG